rnacentral:rRNA from 1 species
CGGAGAAUUGGGGUUCGAUUCCGGAGAGGGAGCCUGAGAAACGGCUACCACAUCCAAGGAAGGCAGCAGGCGCGCAAAUUACCCAAUCCCGACUCGGGGAGGUAGUGACAAUAAAUAACAAUGCCGGGCUAUUUUUAGUCUGGCAAUUGGAAUGAGAACAAUGUAAAUACCUUAACGAGGAACAAUUGGAGGGCAAGUCUGGUGCCAGCAGCCGCGGUAAUUCCAGCUCCAAUAGCGUAUAUUAAAGUUGUUGCAGUUAAAAAGCUCGUAGUUGGAUUUCGGGGCAGGAGGUCCGGUCCGCCGAAAGGCAGGUACUGGACGCCAGCCCUUUUUCUCGGAGGCCCCAUCUGCUCUUCAUUGAGUGGUAGGGGAGUUCGGGACGUUUACUUUGAAAAAAUUAGAGUGUUCAAGGCAGGCCGUCGCUUGAAUACGUUAGCAUGGAAUAAUGGAAUAGGACUUCGGUUCUAUUUCGUUGGUUUCUGGGACCGAAGUAAUGAUUAAGAGGGACAGUUGGGGGCAUUCGUAUUCAAUUGUCAGAGGUGAAAUUCUUGGAUUUAUGGAAGACGAACAACUGCGAAAGCAUUUGCCAAGGAUGUUUUCAUUAA